CCCUUAGAUGUUCUGGGCCGCACGCGCGCUACACUGACGAUGGCAACGAGUUUUUCCUUCGCCGAAAGGUGUGGGUAAUCUUUUGAAACAUCGUCGUGCUGGGGAUAGAUCAUUGCAAUUUUUGAUCUUGAACGAGGAAUUCCUAGUAAGCGCGAGUCAUCAGCUCGCGUUGAUUACGUCCCUGCCCUUUGUACACACCGCCCGUCGCUACUACCGAUUGAAUGGUUCAGUGAGGACUCCUGAUUGGCGCCGCCGCCCCGGCAACGGAGCAGCGGACUGCCGAAAAGUUGUUCAAACUUGAUCAUUUAGAGGAAGUAAAAGUCGUAACA
rnacentral:rRNA from 1 species